UCUCCGUAGGUGAACCUGCGGAGGGAUCCUUACCGAGUGAGGGUUCCGGCCCGACCUCCAACCCUUUGUGAAUUCGACCCAGUUGCCUCGGGGGCGACCCUGCCGUCCGCGGCUGAGCGCCCCCGGGGUCAAUCAAACACUGCAUCUUUGCGUCGGAGUCUUAAUGAAUUUAAACAAAACUUUUAACAACGGAUCUCUUGGUUCUGGCAUCGAUGAAGAACGCAGC
rnacentral:misc_RNA from 1 species